GCUGGCGGCGUGCCUAACACAUGCAAGUCGUGCGAGAAAGUUCCUUCGGGAGCGAGUAAAGCGGCGCACGGGUGAGUAACACGUAGGUAACCUGCCCCCCAGUCUGGAACAACUAGAGGAAACUCUAGCUAAUGCCGGAUGAGACCACGAUCCCUUCGGGGGUUGCGGCCAAAGAUGGCCUCUACUUGUAAGCUAUCGCUGAGGGAUGGGCCUGCGGGCCAUUAGCUUGUUGGUGAGGUAACGGCUCACCAAGGCUGUGAUGGCUAGCUGGUCUGAGAGGAUGACCAGCCACACUGGGACUGAGACACGGCCCAGACUCCUACGGGAGGCAGCAGUGGGGAAUAUUGGACAAUGGGCGAAAGCCUGAUCCAGCAAUGCCGCGUGAGUGAUGAAGGCCUUAGGGUUGUAAAGCUCUUUUACCCGAGAUGAUAAUGACAGUAUCGGGAGAAUAAGCUCCGGCUAACUCCGUA
rnacentral:rRNA from 1 species